GUGGCAUUAGCUCAGCUGGAUAGAGCAACGGCCUUCUAAGCCGUGGGUCGCAGGUUCGAAUCCUGCAUGCCGCACCA
rnacentral:tRNA from 2 species